GAUGAACGCUAGCUACAGGCUUAACACAUGCAAGUCGAGUGACCGGCGCACGGGUGAGUAACACGUAUCCAACCUGCCCUUUACUCAGGGAUAGCCUUUCGAAAGAUAGAUUAAUACCCGAUAUAAAGGAUGGGGGUGCGUUCCAUUAGGUUGUUGGGGAGGUAACGGCUCACCAAGCCUUCGAUGGAUAGGGGUUAUGAUAGGAAGGGCCCCGAAAUUGGAGCUGAGACACGGUCCAAACGCGUACGGGAGGGAGCAGUGAGGAAUAUAGGUCAAUGGGCGCAAGCCUGAACCAGCCAAGUAGCGGGAAGAGUAAAGGCGUAGGGGUCGUAAAUUUCUUUGAUAGAAGAAUAUGUAUUAUAUGAAGAAGGAUCGGCUAACUCCGUGCCAGCAGCCGCGGUAAUAC
rnacentral:rRNA from 1 species